UACGUAGGGUGCAAGCGUUAAUCGGAAUUACUGGGCGUAAAGCGUGCGCAGGCGGUUUUGUAAGUCAGAGGUGAAAUCCCCGGGCUCAACCCGGGAACUGCCUUUGUGACUGCAAGGCUUGAGUGCGGCAGAGGGGGAUGGAAUUCCGCGUGUAGCAGUGAAAUGCGUAGAUAUGCGGAGGAACACCGAUGGCGAAGGCAAUCCCCUGGGCCUGCACUGACGCUCAUGCACGAAAGCGUGGGGAGCAAACAGG
rnacentral:rRNA from 1 species